GAAUACAAGUACAGGUACCUACAUGCAGUAAAGAAAUUAAUGACUGGAUACAAGUACAGGUACCUACAUGCAGUAAAGGUACUAAUGACUGGAUACAAGUACCUACAUGCAGUAAAGGUACUAAUGGCUGAAUACAAGUACCUACAUGCAGUGAAUGUACUAAUGAUUGAAUACAAGUACAGGUACCUACAUGCAGUAAAGGUACUAAUGACUGGAUACAAGUACCCACAUGCAGUGAAGGUACUAAUGGCUGAAUACAAGUACCCACAUGCUGUAAAGGUACUAAUGACUGAAUACAAGUACCUACAUACAUUAAAGGUACUAAUGACUGGAUACAAGUACCUACAUGCAGUAAAGGUACUAAUGACAUACAAGUACCUACAUGCGACAAGGGUACUAAUACCACACUGCAAGUCCAAAUACAUACAUGUAGUAAAACUAUUAAUGGAACACUACAGGUAAGAGUACAUAAAUGUAGUGAAGGUACUAAUACCACAUUACAAGUUCAAGUUCAUGCAUAU
ensembl:lncRNA